UAACUAGACCUAUCUGAAACAUGGCCCUCUUCAGUAACUAGACCUAUCUGAAACACGGCCCUCUUCAGUAACUAGACCUAUCUGAAACAUGGCCCUCUUCAGUAACUAGACCUAUCUGAAACAUGGCCCUCUUCAGUAACUAGACCUAUCUGAAACAUGACCCUCUUCAGUAACUAGACCUAUCUGAAACAUGGCCCUCUUCAGUAACUAGACCUAUCUGAAACACGGCCCUCUUCAGUAACUAGACCUAUCUGAAACAUGGCCCUCUUCAGUAACUAGACCUAUCUGAAACAUGGCCCUCUUCAGUAACUAGACCUAUCUGAAACAUGGCCCUCUUCAGUAACUAGACCUAUCUGAAACAUGGCCUCCUCCUCUCUUCCAGAGCACCCUCAGCCAGAGCAUCCGGCUACUGCAGAGGACAGCUGAGGAACUACCUGUGAAGGUGACUAACGUCCUUAGUGCCAUCGACGAAGCAGAGUACCUCAUCACACACAACGCUUCACGCGUGGUUAAACAGGAGAGAGAUGUCUACAUGCAGAGCCUGGUUGGAUACUUCAGACAGUACACAGACUGGGUCAAAAACUCUAACACGUUCUGGUUCGGUCUGGGUGGUUGCUGUGUGUUCCUGGUUCCCAGCAUCAUCCUGUCAGUCAAACUGGCCAAGUACUACAGGAGGAUGGAUACGGAGGAUGUGUUUGAAGAGGGCCAAGAAAACUGGUAGAGAAACAAAGGUGGGAAAGAGAACAAAACAACAACAACCCAAGAAGACAGAACUCUGCUGAUCUCCGCCCCACAACAACCUGAUUGGAUAAGGACCUUAGCUGCCAGCCAAUUACAGUAGCCCAAAUGAUGCCCUGUACGUUCCAUCGCCCAAUCACAUCACUAGUUCUGUCUGACGUCACCGUAGUUUCUGAACAUUACACCUGUGUGAACAUGUUGGUGGAUAAUUUCUAUAUAGUUGAUUUGAUAUAUCAGAGUUAUUAUAGACAAGUGUUGUGUUUGUUUCUACUCAGCUGGAACCACUGACUCGUCUCAACGACUUGUACAUUUUAUACGCUUUCAACACCUUUGAAAGUUUUAUAUAUUUUUUAAUAUAAUAUGUUAGCAUGUUAGCGGACGCUAGCUACCAAACCAUGUUAGCAUGUUAGCAGACGCUAGAUACAAAACCAUGUUAGCAUGUUAGCAGACACUGGCUACCAAACCAUGUUAGCAUGUUAGCAGACACUAGAUACAAAACCAUGUUAGCAUGUUAGCAGACACUGGCUACCAAACCAUGUUAGCAUGUUAGCAGACACUAGAUACAAAACCAUGUUAGCAUGUUAGCUAGCGGACGCUAGCUGCUUGUUGUUUGACAGCUUGUAACCAUCGCAUUGACUUUGAUGUCAUAUCUGUGAUGUCAUAUCGGUGAUGUCAGGACUGUGAUGUCACGACUGAUGUCACUUCAGGCUCUGAAUCUGUGAAUAAAGAUGUCAGUUCGCUGA